rnacentral:rRNA from 1 species
UUAAAGUGGCACGCGAGCUGGGUUCAGAACGUCGUGAGACAGUUCGGUCCCUAUCUGUGAUGGGCGCAGGAAGUUUGAGAGGCUCUGACCUUAGUACGAGAGGACCGGGUUGGACCAACCGCUGGUGUACCGGUUGUCGUGUCAGCGGCACGGCCGGGUAGCUAUGUUGGGAGAGGAUAAGCGCUGAAAGCAUCUAAGCGCGAACCCCACCUCGAGAUGAGACUUCCUUACAGGGACGUGGGAGACUACCACGUUGAUAGGCUGCAGGUGUAAAGUCAGAGAUGGCAAAGCUGAGCAGUACUAAUGACCCAAACGCUUCAGA